GGCUUAACACAUGCAAGUCGAGGGGCAUCAGGAAGAAAGCUUGCUUUCUUUGCUGGCGACCGGCGCACGGGUGAGUAACACGUAUCCAACCUGCCCUUUACUCGGGGAUAGCCUUUCGAAAGAAAGAUUAAUACCCGAUGGCAUAAUGAUUCCGCAUGGUUUCAUUAUUAAAGGAUUCCGGUAAAGGAUGGGGAUGCGUUCCAUUAGGUUGUUGGUGAGGUAACGGCUCACCAAGCCUUCGAUGGAUAGGGGUUCUGAGAGGAAGGUCCCCCACAUUGGAACUGAGACACGGUCCAAACUCCUACGGGAGGCAGCAGUGAGGAAUAUUGGUCAAUGGGCGCUAGCCUGAACCAGCCAAGUAGCGUGAAGGAUGAAGGCUCUAUGGGUCGUAAACUUCUUUUAUAUAAGAAUAAAGUGCAGUAUGUAUACUGUUUUGUAUGUAUUAUAUGAAUAAGGAUCGGCUAACUCCGUGCCAGCAGCCGCGGUAAUACGGAGGAUCCGAGCGUUAUCCGGAUUUAUUGGGUUUAAAGGGAGCGUAGGUGGACUGGUAAGUCAGUUGUGAAAGUUUGCGGCUCAACCGUAAAAUUGCAGUUGAUACUGUCAGUCUUGAGUACAGUAGAGGUGGGCGGAAUUCGUGGUGUAGCGGUGAAAUGCUUAGAUAUCACGAAGAACUCCGAUUGCGAAGGCAGCUCACUGGACUGCAACUGACACUGAUGCUCGAAAGUGUGGGUAUCAAACAGGAUUAGAUACCCUGGUAGUCCACACAGUAAACGAUGAAUACUCGCUGUUUGCGAUAUACAGUAAGCGGCCAAGCGAAAGCAUUAAGUAUUCCACCUGGGGAGUACGCCGGCAACGGUGAAACUCAAAGGAAUUGACGGGGGCCCGCACAAGCGGAGGAACAUGUGGUUUAAUUCGAUGAUACGCGAGGAACCUUACCCGGGCUUAAAUUGCAGUGGAAUGAUGUGGAAACAUGUCAGUGAGCAAUCACCGCUGUGAAGGUGCUGCAUGGUUGUCGUCAGCUCGUGCCGUGAGGUGUCGGCUUAAGUGCCAUAACGAGCGCAACCCUUAUCUUUAGUUACUAACAGGUUAUGCUGAGGACUCUAGAGAGACUACCGUCGUAAGAUGUGAGGAAGGUGGGGAUGACGCCAAAUCAGCACGGCCCUUACGUCCGGGGCUACACACGUGUUACAAUGGGGGGUACAGAAGGCAGCUAGCGGGUGACCGUAUGCUAAUCCCAAAAGCCUCUCUCAGUUCGGAUCGAAGUCUGCAACCCGACUUCGUGAAGCUGGAUUCGCUAGUAAUCGCGCAUCAGCCACGGCGCGGUGAAUACGUUCCCGGGCCUUGUACACACCGCCCGUCAAGCCAUGGGAGCCGGGGGUACCUGAAGUACGUAACCGCAAGGAUCGUCCUAGGGUAAAACUGGUGACUGGGGCUAAGUCG
rnacentral:rRNA from 1 species